UAAUAUGAUGAAAAAGAGCUUGUAGCUCGAUUAACCCAGCUCGUCGAGGCGGGAGUAACGCCCCAAUAUGCCGUUGAUAUAAACUCUUUUGCUGAUUA
rnacentral:snoRNA from 1 species